rnacentral:rRNA from 1 species
GACGAACGCUGGCGGCGUGCCUAAUACAUGCAAGUAGAACGCACAGAUUAUACCGUAGCUUGCUACACCAUAGACUGUGAGUUGCGAACGAGUGAGUCACGCGUAGGUAACCUGUCUGGUAGCGGGGGAUAACUAUUGGAAACGUUAGCUAAUAUCGCAUAAUAUUGAUAAUGGAAUGAUACUUGAUUGAAAGAGGGUAUUGCAUCGCUACCAGAUGGACCUGCGUUGUAUUAGCUAGUAGGUGAGGUAACGGACCACCUAGGCGACGGUACAUAGCCGGCCUGAGAGGGUUAACGGCCACCCUUGGACUUAGACACGGCCCAGACUCCUUCGGGAGGCAGCAGUAGGGAAACUUCGGACAUGGACGGAAGUCUGACUGAGCAACGCCCGGUGAGUGCAGGAGGUCCUCGGAUCGUUAAGCUCUGUUUUUUGGGAAGAACGAGUGUGAGAGUGAAAAGUUCACGCUGUGACGGUAUCUAACGAGAAAGCGACGGCUAACUUCGUG